rnacentral:rRNA from 1 species
ACACUGUACAAUGGAUUUCUCGGCUCCCACAUCGAUGAAGAACGCAGCAAAGCGCGAUAGGUAGUGUGAAUUGCAGAAUACCGUGAAUCAUCGAAUUUUUGAACGCAUAUUGCGCCCGGGUUUGUGCCUGGGCAUGUCUGCCUCAGCGUCGAUUU